CCGAUACCCGCUCGUUCUUCCUUCCCCCUUUUCUUUUCCCCCCGCUUGAUACUACCUCUCUGUUCUCUUUGAGUUUGCUGCCGCCCUUCCUAAGCCGUGCUUGCUGGUGUGCUAUCGCCACCUCGCCGAGGAGAGCGUGGACGACGGGCUGCUGCUCACCAGAAUGGCACAUUUCUGACUUUGGACAUCUCAGGAAAAAGAAAUCAAUGGACAAACAAAUUUAAGAAAACAAAGUAUGUUAUUAUUAUUAUUUUGGUUGUUCUUUAUUUUUGGAUUCAGUAAGCAUGCACUCAUAAUUUGGUGAAGAUGAUGAUCUUGACAUGUAAAUGAUCUUGCGCAUGCGUGUUGAUCUAUCAUGAUCAUCUACUCAGUUCAACGCAAAGGACAAGCACACUUUCUAAAAGUGGAGAAAAUUCUGUUUCAAGGAUCGUCCAAAUACCAAAGUAUGAUGGUUUUCCAGUCAUCGGCCUAUGGCAAGGUUUUUGUCCUCGAUGGAGCACUACAACUUACAGAGAAGGAUGAAUGUUCUUACCAAGAAAUGAUGACCCACCUCCCACUUUGCUCUAUUCCUAAUCCAAACAAGGUUUGGGCUAGUCUAUUGCUGCAGUGAUGGUCCUUAAUAAAUUCCAAGAAAGGAAAGUAGAAGACACACGUAUAACUUUUCAGCUAAUGAAAUUUUGUUGACCAAACACCAUUCAUUUUGCUUGUCAUAUUUGUGGUAGUUCAAUUGAUAUGGUGAUCCUCUAUGAUUUGGUUCUUGGUGAGCUGAAAGCUGACAAAGCUCAUUCAAGUAUUUGAAUUUCAGUUAAGGCCAAUGUCUUUAUGUUGUAUGUAAUGAACACAUUUCAAAAACUCAAGUGUUAUUUGAAUAAAAUAUCUACAUUUGUGUUGGAUUGGAUUACAUGGGCAGCAAGCAUGUUGAUAUGUCUUGCAAUACAAGAUUUUGAGUUAUAUAUAUGGAAGUGUGAAGUGGAAUGAUGUGAAUUGGUAGUAAAUAUUGAAGUGAUAUGUUGGUUGGGAUUA